rnacentral:lncRNA from 1 species
UUGACUUGAAGGAUAUUGAGUCUGAGGACGAGGUGGUCCGGGAGAGAUGCCGGGAGGAGUUGAAGAAAGCUGCCAUGGAGUGGGGUGUGAUGCACCUUGUUAACCAUGGCAUCUCUGAUGACCUUAUCAACCGUGUUAAGGUUGCUGGAGAGACCUUUUUCAAUCUCCCCAUGGAGGAAAAGGAGAAGUAUGCUAAUGACCAGGCCUCCGGCAAGAUCGCUGGCUAUGGCAGCAAGCUUGCCAACAAUGCUAGUGGACAGCUUGAGUGGGAGGACUACUUCUUCCACCUCAUCUUCCCUGAAGACAAGCGCGAUAUGACCAUCUGGC